rnacentral:rRNA from 1 species
GACGAACGCUGGUGGCGUGCUUAACACAUGCAAGUCGAACGGGAUCUCGUAAACAGAAGCCUCGGUGGAAGAUUACUAAUGAGAGUGGCGAACGGGUGAGUAACGCGUUAGCAACCUGCCUAUGUCAGUGGGAUAGCCUCGGGAAACCGGGAUUAAUACCGCAUAAAAUCGUACAAACACUUGUUUUAACGGUCAAAGAUUUAUCGGUCAUAGAUGGGCUCGCGUCUGAUUAGCUAGUUGGUGAGAUAACAGCCCACCAAGGCGACGAUCAGUAGCCGGUCUGAGAGGAUGAACGGCCACAUUGGAACUGAGACACGGUCCAGACUCCUACGGGAGGCAGCAGUGGGGAAUAUUGCACAAUGGGGGAAACCCUGAUGCAGCGACGCCGCGUGAACGAAGAAGGUAUUCGUAUCGUAAAGUUCUGUCAUAUGGGAAGAUAAUGACAGUACCAGAGGAGAAAGCUCCGGCUAAAUACGUG